rnacentral:misc_RNA from 1 species
AGCUACUUGAUAAAUUGCUAUUUCUUUCGGAGAAUCAUCUACUGUUUGGUCCACGGAACAAUUCCUUAUUACUGUGCAUUCAUUGAAUGUCACUUGGAAUAUUUUCACUUGAUUAGUGAUGGAAAUUCUGAGAGUAACUUUUCUGUGAUGCUGGGAGGUGAUUUUUUCCAGUGUUUUAUCUUAAUAUUUUCCUCUAGACUAACAAGGACAUA